AUUUUCAAUGGCGCUGUCCAUCAUCAACGAUCAGCGAAAGAAGUUUGGCUGACUGUUUUCCCAUGUUUACUUACAGCAUUGAUAAGGAUUCCACUGAAUGUUAUGUUUGAAAGAGCACAGAUUUUGUCCAUCUGUUACUUUUAAGUCUACCAGAGGACACAAUGAUUAGCUAUCACAAGAUCUACAUGAGCCCUGUGCAGUCCAGCAACCUGCAGUCUCAGCUGUGUGGGCUGUGGAAGAAGCAAAAGUUCUGUGAUGCUGUCAUCAAGUCAGACAACAUUUCUGUAAUAACUGUUCAAUCAUCCAAUUUUGAACUUGGGAAAAAGACACCACAAACUGAACCUUAUCCUGUGUUGUUAAAGGAAGUUCGACAAUCAUCAAGCCCCUUUUCUUGUAAUUUAGCUAAAGUCAGUGCUUCAUGCGCUGGCAUUGACAAGGAUGACAAACGACCAAUUUCUAGUCAGAGCUUAUCUCUACAGCAGCAAUUUAAAAAGUCUUCAAGAAAAUUUAGAGAAAAAUCGGAAAGUCAAACAUGCACUUCUACUAGCAACAGUGUUACAAGUACUGACCCUAGUACUGAGGUGAGCCUCAGUAUUGUUAAAAUUGAACCGGAAGACAGCAUCAUCCAAACAGAUGAGGGGAUGUUUUUGUCAACAGCACAGAGAGAUGAAACCCAAACAAGUCAGUCCAGCUGGUUACAUGAUAACCCCUCAAUGUCGUCUGAGGAGAAUUUGAGUCAAGAAGAAACGUCCUCAAGUUUGACCAGUAGAACAGAUGAAAACAGAGAUCAAGUUACAAUAGAGAAUGGAAGCAAUUUGGAAGGUGGUAGUUUUGUGGAUGAAAAUUCUCUUUUGGAAAUAAGCUGUGGGGAGAGUGGUGCAAUGGCUAAUCUGUUUACAGAAAUUGAUCGUCAAACAGAAAUCGCAGUUCAGGCAAUAAUGGCAGGAGAUUCAAAGGUAGAGCCAGCAUCAAGAUCCGAAAUCAUCAAUUGUACAGUUUGCGAUAAAACCUUUAGUACAACAUAUGGACAUAAAAUGCACAUGGAAAGAUUCCACCCCGAAACUCUGACAAAGAAAAGUAAAAAGAAGUAUCCUAAAUGUAAGACUUGUGGUAAACAGAUGGCUAGCAAAUACGCUCUGUCUAUCCAUGAAAUUAAACACACCAAAGCAAAGUACUUUAAGUGUAAACAAUGUGGAACCCAGUUUGGAUACAAGCAUGUGCUUAACAGCCAUAUGGAGGUGUGUAGUCGAGCCAAAACUUCAAAACGUUAAAUUGACAUAUUUAGAAGUGUUGAAAAACCUCUGCCUAAUUUAGUUCUGUUGUGUUUUUUUUUUACGUUGAAAGCUAUAAUGAUAUCUAUAUUGUAUAAUUUGUUAAAGUACAUUUGACAAUAAUACUUAUACAUAAAAAUUUAUCUUUUAUUGACCAUUUAGGAAAAAAAAUCCUUAAAAGUGAACUAAAAUUGAAACAUUGACAACGUGAAAUGGAUUUUGAAAGUUUUGUACAUUUUUGUGUGCAAAUGUUUUAACGAUCGAAGGCCUAUUUGACAAGUUACAACCCAAAGAAGAUUGAUUGUGUGUUUGAGUAUUGCUGAAGUAUGAUCCUACCAAGAAGUUAUGAUAAUGUGUCAUUAUAUUCUAAGUGUAUCAUGAGUGUAUGGUUUAAGACCAAAUAAAUGGUAGUUUUCCAUACAUUAAUAUUCCAAGAAAGGAAUGUUAGUGAGAAAAUUUGUUCUUAAUUAAUGAUUAAAUAUAAAUUGUGUGUUCAGGAUCUUUCUGUGAAUUUGGAAGUAUUUUGUACUGUACACACAUCAUUGAUGGAUCCCAUGGUAAUUGAGAUGUGAUUGUUCCAGAUACCAAAUAUCAACUGUUUUCUUUACUUUCGGCUAUGUUUGUGCACCUUUGUUUUCAUUUUUAGACAUUAUAUUACAAAAUAUGUUAGUUUCUGUCUACUAGUUUAUUUCUUUUAAAUGUAAAUAAAAUACAUGUACUACAAUUAUAAUAAAAUUUGAUUAUUAUGUCG
rnacentral:misc_RNA from 1 species